GACGAACGCUGGCGGCGCGCUUAACACAUGCAAGUCGAACGGAGUUAGCUAACGGAAGUCUUCGGAUGGAAAUUAGUUGACUUAGUGGCGAACGGGUGAGUAACGCGUGAGCAACCGGUCCUAAAGAGGGGGACAACUUUGAGAAAUCAAGGCUAAUACCGCGUAAGACCACACUGCGGCAUCGCAGAGGGGUCAAAGGAGAAAUCCGCUUUAGGGAGGGCUCGCGUCUGAUUAGCUAGUUGGUGAGGUAACGGCUCACCAAGGCGACGAUCAGUAGCCGUGCUGAGAGGCAGGCCGGCCACAUUGGGACUGAGACACGGCCCAAAACUCCUACGGGAGGCAGCAGUGGGGAAUAUUGCACAAAUGGGGGAAACCCUGAUGCAGCGACGCCGCGUGAGUGAAGAAGUAUUUCGGUACGU
rnacentral:rRNA from 1 species